rnacentral:rRNA from 1 species
AUUGAACGCUGGCGGCAGGCCUAACACAUGCAAGUCGAACGAGUGGCGGACGGGUGAGUAAUGUCUGGGAAACUGCCUGAUGGAGGGGGAUAACUACUGGAAACGGUAGCUAAUACCGCAUACUAUCGUAUGUGCCCAGAUGGGAUUAGCUAGUAGGUGGGGUAACGGCUCACCUAGGCGACGAUCCCUAGCUGGUCUGAGAGGAUGAACAGCCACACUGGAACUGAGACACGGCCCAGACUCCUACGGGAGGCAGCAGUGGGGAAUAUUGGACAAUGGGCGCAAGCCUGAUGCAGCCAUGCCGCGUGUAUGAAGAAGGCCUUCGGGUUGUAAAGUACUUUCAGCGGGGAGGCGUUACCCGCAGAAGAAGCACCGGCUAACUCCGUGCCAGCAGCCGCGGUAAUAC